CACUAACCUCAACAUCCAACCAACUAUUUGUAACGAUGCAUAGAUAAGUUGAGAUCUAUCUAUAUAGUUAUACAACAGGUGCGUGAUUAUUAAACCAGGUGAUAAGAUAAUUAACAGGUGCUUUCAUUUAAAUAAAGCACAUUGUUUUAGAAAUAACAUCUACUCCUCCACCAUGAGCCGACCGUAUGGAUCAACUGAACUCAUAAAUAAAGCAACAAAUGGCGGUGUAACUGUAUCAUGGGCGUGGCCAGUUCUACACAAAAUGGCCUUGUUUCACUUGGCACCCGGAGGUUUGGCAGUCAUGAUGGGCAUUAUCACCAUGUAUGAGAUUAAAAAAGAUGAAGUUGUGGUGAAUUUUAACACAGCAGCGCCACUUUCAAUAGGAUUGAUGAGUUUGUUGUCUGGUUCGUUUCUUUUUACGGAAUGUUUUCUACAGUUCAGAAACAAUUCCACAGAGAGAAAAGUUAGUCCAUUGCUGUGGUUUCAUUUUAUAAUGGAAGUUCUCACCAUUGCCCUGUGUCUAUGGACGACCCUAUGGAAUGCCUCGGGCCUUUGUAUCUCCGAAAUAGCUCUUACUCAUAAAUGCACCAAAGAUGAAGACGUCACGCAGGGUCACGUGUUAGCAGUUAUCGAUUUCGUCAUCAUUCUUUGUGUAUGCAUCUACAGCAUCAUAUGUUUCGUCAUCAAGCUUCACUAUCGUCAUGACCUUGGACUUGCCAUAGCAACGAGUCAACUCCUAGCUAAUCAAAAGCAGCUAGAGAAUCAGAUGAUCCAUAUGAAUAUUAUGAAGUCAUCCAAGUCACGUGAGAGAAUAUCGUUAAAGGAUGAGAACUGUGGUGAAGGAUAUUAUCAAAAUGGAAGUAUAAAUUAAAUUAUAGAUAGAUGAAUAGAUAUUUCGAUGGUUGACGAAAUCGGUUUUAUUUACGACAUCAAUUGGACCAUAACGAUUGUUUGGUGGAUGCAAGAUGCUCUAAAGCUAAUUAGCCCCUAGGGUCGGCUAGAUCUAUUUGUUAAGGCCAGCUCAAUUUUCAGCAAGGUCGUUGAGAUGUAAAUAAGAUUAGGGCACGUGAUUGCUGGCGAGAUUGUAGCUUAGGGUAAGCAUUGGGGCUAGGAUUAGGGUUAGGGUUGGGAAUUGCGCUAGCCCUGUUUACAUCUCGUGACCUUUGACCAAACUUAUAGCCUUAUCAAAUAGAUCUACCCCCUUAAGGACCCGUUUCACGAAGGGUAGUAGGCCUGCGUAGAGUUACGUACAAGUACACGAAGAAUGAACAACGUUGUUUAGUAAAAUGUUCGAUUUUCAUGUACGCUACUUUGUGAAACGGGGCCUUAGUUAAUAAGAGACAUGGUGUCCCAAGCUAUGAACGCCAUUGCUCAAAAGUCGCGAUUAUACAGCGCGGGGUAAACGGGGCUUUUCGGAUCAUUUUCCAUCUACUUACACUUAAUAAAUGGGCCAAAUACCUGAAUGAAUACAAUUGCAAGUGAGCAUGUAGUCAUGUAUUUAUAGGACAUAUAAAGUUUGGUAUCAGUGAAGAUUUACACACGACAGCUAUCUCCAAGCAGGAAUGGACAGAACGGGAGUCCGUGAGUAUGUUGACGGGAUCACAAAAGAGUAUUCUCACGGAAAUUGGGGACCUGUUUUAAGUCGUUUUAGAUAUUGGACUUAUUUCUUGCUAUAGUAUAUAUUGGAUGAUUUGCAGUCUUCGGAGGUUUGACACCCAGCAGUCAGUUUUUGUAUAUACUUAUAUGAGCUUCAAAGGAACAAUAAAAAAAUCAUGCACAAUUGCCCUUUUCAGUUUUGAACUUUCAUAUUCAUGGGCCCCAUAGACCCUGAACCCCCCAUGUCAGUGGCGCCCCCAGUUAGUUCCUGUCUCUAAGUGAACCAAGAUUGACUAGAGCUUUACACAUCGACUGUAUGUAGUCAUCACGUUACAGCGCUCUAUAGGGUUGAUUCUGAUAUCAAGAGAGAUUAAAUUAUACAGAAUAUUCAUAUACCAUUAAUAAAAUCUGAUCCAUUAUUCUAAAUAUUACACCAUCAAUAAAACCUGAUUCAUUA